rnacentral:lncRNA from 10 species
AUGCACUGUUUUUCCAUAGAGAAUAGAAGUGGAGAGUGGGGCAAAGUACUUCACCCUAGUGUGAUUCAGAAUCUUCUUGGGCUCAAGAGAAUGCCACUGCCUCUACCUCCAAUCCUCAACAUCUUGCCGGAGAUUUUGAUUCAUCUUUCUACAGCUUACAAUAGGAAUAAGUUCCAUAUUUUGAUGUUAUAAUGAUUAAGAAAUGAUUUAUCUCAAAGAACAGCCACAUAUGCAGACUGUAUCCCAUUUUGAGAAGAACC